ACCAAGGGGAUGUUGAGGUUUCUCUCAGUCUUUCCUCUCCAUCAAUAUCUUUAGCCUCCAGAGCCUGGACACCAUCCUGGCUUGGGAGAUGUCGCCCCUUCGGCAUGUCCAACACAGACGCCCAACAUGUAGAUUGGUGCGCUGCACCAGGUGAACCCCACUCGCACUCCAGGCUUUAAAAGGAGGAGAGGAAUUCCCAUUCCUGUGUGUCUUCCUUCUGGAAGCCUCAAGACGGGAGUGGCACUAAGGUUGCUGGUUUCAAG